UACGUAGGGCGCAAGCGUUAUCCGGAAUUAUUGGGCGUAAAGAGCUCGUAGGCGGUUUGUCGCGUCUGCCGUGAAAGUCCGGGGCUCAACUCCGGAUCUGCGGUGGGUACGGGCAGACUAGAGUGCAGUAGGGGAGACUGGAAUUCCUGGUGUAGCGGUGAAAUGCGCAGAUAUCAGGAGGAACACCGAUGGCAAAGGCAGGUCUCUGGGCUGUAACUGACGCUGAGGAGCGAAAGCAUGGGGAGCGAACAGG
rnacentral:rRNA from 1 species